CCUACGGUGUGCAGCAGUGAGGAAUAUUGGUCAAUGGGCGGAAGCCUGAACCAGCCAAGUAGCGUGCAGGAUGACGGCCCUACGGGUUGUAAACUGCUUUUAUACGGGAAUAACGCGCCUUACGUGUAGGGCUUUGCAUGUACCGUAUGAAUAAGGACCGGCUAAUUCCGUGCCAGCAGCCGCGGUAAUACGGAAGGUCCGGGCGUUAUCCGGAUUUAUUGGGUUUAAAGGGAGCGUAGGCCGCAUGUCAAGCGUGCUGUGAAAUGUCCGGGCUCAACCCGGGCCUUGCAGCGCGAACUGGCGUGCUUGAGUCCGCGGAAAGCAGGCGGAAUUCGUCGUGUAGCGGUGAAAUGCUUAGAUAUCGCGCAGAACUCCGAUUGCGAAGGCAGCAUGCCGGCUCCACACUGACGCUGAGGCACGAAAGCGUGGGUAUCGAACAGGAUUAGAUACCCGAGUAGUC
rnacentral:rRNA from 1 species